rnacentral:rRNA from 1 species
UACGUAGGGUGCGAGCGUUGUCCGGAAUUAUUGGGCGUAAAGAGCUUGUAGGCGGUUUGUCGCGUCUGCUGUGAAAAUCCGGGGCUCAACCCCGGACUUGCAGUGGGUACGGGCAGACUAGAGUGUGGUAGGGGAGACUGGAAUUCCUGGUGUAGCGGUGAAAUGCGCAGAUAUCAGGAAGAACACCAAUGGCGAAGGCAGCUCUCUGGGACGGUACUGACACUGGAGACGCGAAAAGCGUGGGGAGCAAACAGG